rnacentral:misc_RNA from 1 species
GAUGAAGAACGUAGCAAAAUGCGAUAAGUAAUGUGAAUUGCAGAAUUCAGUGAAUCAUCGAAUCUUUGUACGCACAUUGCGCCCGCUGGUAUUCCGGCGGGCAUGCCUGUUCGAGCGUCAUUUCAACCCUCAAACCCCCCGGGUUUGGUGUUGGGGAUCGGCUCUGCCUCACGGCGGUGCCGCCCCCGAAAUACAUUGGCGGUCUCGCUGCAGCCUCCAUUGCGUAGUAGCUAACACCUCGCAACUGGAACGCGGCGCGGCCAUGCCGUAAAACCCCAACUUCUGAAUGUUGACCUCGGAUCAGGUAGGAAUACCCGCUGAACUUAAGCAUAUCAAUAAGCGGAGGA